rnacentral:rRNA from 1 species
CCUACGGGAGACAGCAGUGAGGAAUAUUGGUCAAUGGGCGUAAGCCUGAACCAGCCAAGUCGCGUGAGGGAUGAAGGUUCUAUGGAUCGUAAACCUCUUUUAUAAGGGAAUAAAGUGUGGGACGUGUCCUGUUUUGUAUGUACCUUAUGAAUAAGGAUCGGCUAACUCCGUGCCAGCAGCCGCGGUAAUACGGAGGAUCCGAGCGUUAUCCGGAUUUAUUGGGUUUAACGGGUGCGUAGGCGGCCUUUUAAGUCAGCGGUGAAAGUCUGUGGCUCAACCAUAGAAUUGCCGUUGAAACUGGGAGGCUUGAGUAUGUUUGAGGCAGGCGGAAUGCGUGGUGUAGCGGUGAAAUGCUUAGAUAUCACGCAGAACCUCGAUUGCGAAGGCAGCCUGCCAAGCCAUGACUGACGCUGAUGCACGAAAGCGUGGGGAUCAAACAGGAUUAGAUACCCGGGUAGUC